rnacentral:rRNA from 1 species
UACGGAGGAUCCGAGCGUUAUCCGGAUUUAUUGGGUUUAAAGGGUGCGCAGGCGGGGGAUUAAGUCGGCGGUGAAAUUUUGCGGCUCAACCGUAAAAGUGCCUUCGAUACUGGUUUUCUUGAGUGUAGCUGAAGUAGGCGGAAUUUGUGGUGUAGCGGUGAAAUGCAUAGAUAUCACGAGGAACUCCGAUUGCGCAGGCAGCUUACUAAACUACUACUGACGCUCAGGCACGAAGGCGUGGGGAUCAAACAGGAUUAGAUACCCGCGUAGUCCCU